GCUGGUCUCAAGCUCCUGACCUCAGGCAGUCCACUCGCCUCUGCCUCCCAAAGUGCUGGGAUUACAGGCAUGAGCCACUGUGCCCGGCCUCAUUUAUUUUUAAAAGUUACAAAAAUGGAAUUAAAUGAGAAGACAGACAUCAGACAAGAUGAUGAUAGUUAAAAUUUAAGGGGAAAAAUAAGACUCCAAGAAAAAGAUACAAACCAGCCCUUUUUAUCUUUAAUUAAAUAGAAAAUACAAACUAAUUCUUUUAACUUUUAUUUAUUUAUUUAUUUAUUUAUUUUGAGACAGGGUCUGGCUCUGUCACCCAGGCUGGAGUGCAGUGGCACGAUCUUGGCUCACAACUACCUCCGCCUCCCCAGGCUUAAGCAAUCCUCCCACCUCAGCCUCCCAAGUAGCUGAAACUACAGGUGUGCGCCAUCACCCCCAGGUUACCUAAGGGAACCCCAGAGGAAUUCAAGGAGGAUGGGGUGAUUCUGAAGCUACGGUCCAGCAUGGCAUGCUAUGGUCUUGAAGCCUAUGAAAUUCACUCUUCAACAAACUUGGCAUCUACGUUAAGCAUGUGAAUGUACAGAGUUAUCAAUCAACAAUAGCCUUUAAGAUUAUUGUAAUCCCCUAAGUACUUCGGCCCCAGGUAGCCACCCACUGCUGGAUGUCAGAGGACAUCACGGUGCUCUUUCCUGCCUGCACCCCUAGUCUGGAAUGCUUACCCCACAUCUCUGCUGAGUGAACUCCUUCCUAUUCAUGCUUCAAGACCCAGCUCAGUCCUGGCUCAGCUGACCCCUUGGUUCCUGUGUCUGUUCCCUGCUGGGCUGGAGAAGAGUGGAAAUCCCCUCAUCUCAAAGGCAACAUGAGAUUGGAGAAUGUACUCUCAAAUCCCCAAACAGCAACAGAAUUGUUCUGCUUGCUUCAGAGCAGAGGCUCCGCAGCCCUUUCCAGACCUCUCCCAAGCGUGGAAAUGGACGAAGGGCUGGAUGGGGCUCAGAGGGGAGGUCAGGCGGGACUCCCUCAGACAGCAGCUGGGGUUCCUCUGUUCCAGGCCCAGCUCUCACUGAAACAGGAGAGGGUGUGAAGGAAUGGAUUUGGAACUGUCAAGAACUCCUUCCUUAGUGGGCAGUGGAGGUAAUGCAGGGUUCAGACCAUCUGUGCCCUGGACAGAGGCCUCUUUCUUCCCCAGGAAUGCUAAGCACAUGGGCAUCCUGAUACCUCAACUCCUCCAGUCCCAAAUACUCUGCCUGUUUGUCCCCUUUGUCCUGAGCCACCCCGUAGGACCUGCAGGUCAGGCACUGACUUCAUGUCAGGUCCCCGAAGCAGUUUUGUUCUCUCAGCAGUGUCCACUGGCCUGCAGCCAGGCACCUCUCUCCCCCAGCCUGGGUCACUGGCAAGGGAGCAAGAAGAGUUCUGGGCUCACAGCAGGCAGUGGAGUGUAGUCACAGAGCCUGAUCCGGCUUGAAAUCCCAGAUCCUUUGCUUACUAGGCUGUGUGGCCUUAGAUCAAAAGCUGAGUGAAGCAGUGGUCCAGCUGGAAUUCAACACCUGAGAUAUCUGACUCCAGAUACCAGCCCUUCCUUGCUUCCCACUAGCUGCCUAACCCAGAGAGGAGAUUGGGAAAAGAGAAACAAGUUACAGAAUUCAAGACCUCCACCCAGGAACUGACUCAGCGCAAGAAGACAGCUUCGACUCUGUAUGAGUUCAUCUCCAACCUGACCAAUCAGCACUCCCGGCUCACUGGCUUCCCCCCAUCCACCAAGUUGUCCUUAAAACUCUGCUCCCCGAAUGCUUGGGGAGACUUAUUUGAGUAAUAAUAAAACUCUGUUCUUCUGCACAGCCAGCUCCGCAUGAAAUUACUCUUUCUCUAUCGCAGUUCCCCAGUAUUGAUAAAUCGGCUCUGUCUAGGCAACCGGCAAGGUGAACUCACUAGGCAGUUAUGGCAGUACUCUUCUGCCUGGCACACUCACCUCUCAUUCCGCUUCCUUUUCUGCCUAACAUCCAGUAAUCUUUAAGUUCAUUGGCCCUUUCUCCAGGAAGCCUCCCUUGACUUUCUAAGGCCAGCUCUGGUGCCCUUUAGUGGUACCUCUCUGGGCUUCCUUCUGACCUUCUAUGUGUUUUCCCUAGUGGAUGAUGAGGCAAGAGACUGAACUGGACUCACUGUGAUGUCUCUAGUGCUGGGAACAGUGUCAGGCACCUGGCCGGUUUAUAAAUAUAUACAUAUACAUUUGAGACAGAGUCUCGCUCUGUUGCCUAGGCUGGAGUGCAGUGGCAUGAUCUUGGCUCACCGCAACCUCUGCCUCCCGGGUUCAAGCAAUUCUCCAGCCUCAGCCUCCUGAGUAGCUGGGAUUGCAGGCGCACACCACCACACCUCGCUAGUUUUUAAAAAUAUUUUUGACUGAGAGGCAGCAUUUUAAUAUAACAAACAAUAAGGAUAGGCCAGAGGCUUGCUACUCAAAGUGUGGUUGUGGCUCGAUAGCAUCAGCAUCUCCCAGGACCUGGUUAGAAAUGCAGAAUCUCAGGCCCCACCCCAGACCUACUGCCUUCUAACAAGAUCCCAGGUGAUUUGUAUGCACAUAAAUGUUCGCGAAGCACCGGGCUAGAACAUUUAUUAACGUAGGAUGUUGCUCUUACAAUGUAUUUUGAGGUCAAAAUAAACUCAUUUAAAGCAUUUUUUUUCUCAUUAUUUGCUCCAUUCUCUCCACCUCUGAGUUGCAUCAACACAUGUCAUUGUGUUCUGGGACUCUGAGCCUCUCUUAUGAAUCACAAUGGCAAAAGAAGUUUGCUGUACCAUUGCUGUAGAUGGCCUUAAUGGGUUACAAAUUGGAUUUUUUUUUUUUUUUUUUUUGAGACAGAGUUUUGCUCGUUACCCAGGCUGGAGUGCAAUGGCACGAUCUCGGCUCACUGAAACCUCCGCCUCCCGGGUUCAAGUGAGUCUCCUGCCUCAGCCUCCCAAGUAGCUGGAAUUACAGGCGCCUGCCACCACGCCCCAGCUAAUUUUUGUAUUUUUGGUAGAGACGGGGUUUCUCCAUGUAUGUCAGGCUGGUCUCAAACUCCCGACCUCAGGUGAUCCACCUGCCUCGGCCUCCCAAAGUGCUGGGAUUACAGGCGUGAACCACCGCGCUCGGCCACAAAUUGGAUUUUGAAACUUCCAUCAGCUGCUUCUUGUGCAGCACCUCCCAGGAGGUAGGUUGUAUGACAAUUUCUGUUUUUAGAGAUGAUGAAAUUGCGGCCCAAGGAGGUUUCAUGACUCACCACAG
rnacentral:lncRNA from 10 species